AAAAUGGUCUCAAAAAAUACAUUCACUUAAAGGAGUUUGUUGGUGUGAAUAUUAAAUCAUAACUAAUCUACUCGCCAACUAAUAGAUAGCUUUUCCUUAUAGAAUCAUCAUUAUGAAAGGAUUAAGAGAAUGAGAGGAUAAAAUUUCAUAGAAAGUAAGCUUGGUAGGUAAAAGAUAAAAAAAAAACAGGAAAAUAUAAAUUCAUGAAAUGUAGUUCGUGAGAGCCUAUGCGGGACCAACUUUGACUUUAC
rnacentral:lncRNA from 1 species